rnacentral:rRNA from 1 species
GACGAACGCUGGCGGCGUGCCUAACACAUGCAAGUCGAGCGAGUGAAUCUCCUUCGGGAGUGAAGCUAGCGGCGGACGGGUGAGUAACACGUGGGCAACCUGCCUCAUAGAGGGGAAUAGCCUUUCGAAAGGAAGAUUAAUACCGCAUAAGAUUGUAGCUUCGCAUGAAGUAGCAAUUAAAGGAGCAAUCCGCUAUGAGAUGGGCCCGCGGCGCAUUAGCUAGUUGGUGAGGUAACGGCUCACCAAGGCGACGAUGCGUAGCCGACCUGAGAGGGUGAUCGGCCACAUUGGGACUGAGACACGGCCCAGACUCCUACGGGGGCAGCAAUUAGGAAUCUUGCGCAAUGGGGGAAACCCUGACGCAGCGACGCCGCGUGAGCGAUGAAGUCUUUCGGGAUGUAAAGCUCUGUCCUGUGGGGAAGAAGAAUGUGACGUACCCACAGAGAAAGCCCCGGCUAACUACGUGCCAGCAGCCGCGGUAA